rnacentral:rRNA from 1 species
GUAACAUAUCGGAACGUACCGAGCAGUGGGGGAUAACUAAUCGAAAGAUUAGCUAAUACCGCAUAUCUUCUGAGGAAGAAAGCAGGGGACCUUUGGGCCUUGCGCUGUUUGAGCGGCCGAUAUCUGAUUAGCUGGUUGGUGGGGUAAAGGCCUACCAAGGCGACGAUCAGUAGCGGGUCUGAGAGGAUGAUCCGCCACACUGGGACUGAGACACGGCCCAGACUCCUACGGGAGGCAGCAGUGGGGAAUUUUGGACAAUGGGGGCAACCCUGAUCCAGCCAUGCCGCGUGUCUGAAGAAGGCCUUCGGGUUGUAAAGGACUUUUGUCCGGGAAGAAAAGCGCGAUGUUAAUACCAUUGCGUGCUGACGGUACCGGAAGAAUAAGCACCGGCUAACUACGUGCCAGCAGCCGCGGUAAUACGUAGGGUGCGAGCGUUAAUCGGAAUUACUGGGCGUAAAGCGGGCGCAGACGGUUACUUAAGCAGGAUGUGAAAUCCCCGGGCUCAACCUGGGAACUGCGUUCUGAACUGGGUGGCUAGAGUGUGUCAGAGGGGGGUAGAAUUCCACGUGUAGCAGUGAAAUGCGUAGAGAUGUGGAGGAAUACCGAUGGCGAAGGCAGCCUCCUGGGAUAACACUGACGUUCAUGCCCGAAAGCGUGGGUAGCAAACAGGAUUAGAUACCCUGGUAGUCCACGCCCUAAACGAUGUCGAUUAGCUGUUGGGCAGCAUGACUGCUUAGUAGCGAAGCUAACGCGUGAAAUCGAC